rnacentral:rRNA from 1 species
UACGGAGGGUGCAAGCGUUAUCCGGAUUCACUGGGUUUAAAGGGUGCGUAGGCGGCCAGCACAAGUCAGUUGUGAAAUCUCCGAGCUUAACUCGGAAAGGUCAACUGAUACUGUGCGGCUAGAGUGCGGAAGGGGCAACUGGAAUUCUUGGUGUAGCGGUGAAAUGCGUAGAUAUCAAGAGGAACACCUGCGGCGAAGGCAGCUCGCUGGGACGGUACUGACACUGAGGCGCGAAAGCGUGGGGAGCGAACAGG